rnacentral:rRNA from 1 species
AUUGAACGCUGGCGGCAUGCCUUACACAUGCAAGUCGAACGGCAGCACGGGAGCAAUCCUGGUGGCGAGUGGCGAACGGGUGAGUAAUGUAUCGGAACGUGCCCAGUCGUGGGGGAUAACGCAGCGAAAGCUGUGCUAAUACCGCAUACGAUCUAUGGAUGAAAGCGGGGAUCGCAAGACCUCGCGCGAUUGGAGCGGCCGAUAUCAGAUUAGCUAGUUGGUGGGGUAAAAGCUUACCAAGGCGACGAUCUGUAGCUGGUCUGAGAGGACGACCAGCCACACUGGAACUGAGACACGGUCCAGACCCCUACGGGAGGCAGCAGUGGGGAAUUUUGGACAAUGGGCGCAAGCCUGAUCCAGCAAUGCCGCGUGCAGGAUGAAGGCCUUCGGGUUGUAAACUGCUUUUGUACGGAGCGAAAAGGCUUUCUCUAAUACAGGGGGCUCAUGACGGUACCGUAAGAAUAAGCACCGGCUAACUACGUGCCAGCCGCCGCGGUAA